AACUUAAACUUAAACUUGUACUUGUCCUCAACUGUCAAUUUCGAAGGUCGCAGAAAUAGAGAAAUCCCGAAUAAACUAUAUCCUUCACCUAUACCAAAUCCUGGUUAUCGACAGGUUAGUCCGACACCGUCGCCCAUGAUAGAAUAAGGAAAAAGCUAGAAGAAUCAAAACCGGGAAACAUUUUUGAAGGUGCGGUAUUGAAUCAGAGUCUUUAGUUAGGAUUUUGAAUUUAUGAAUUCUCGUAUCUUAAGAAUGUGAGCUUAUUGAAUUCUUAAGAAAUUAUUUAUAUAUAAAAUAUAAAGAUUGAACAAAA